CGCGUCCGUCCCGUGGACGCCCUGCCCAUCCCGGCCCGCUCCCGGUUACGCUGGCGCCGUGCGCCUUUUCCCGGAUGCCCUCCGCGUGUCCGGGCAGCCGCAUAGCCGACAGCCGUCGCACUUGAGGGAGCCCCUUACAUG
rnacentral:sRNA from 1 species